rnacentral:misc_RNA from 1 species
CACAUCAGGAUGAUGUAAAGGAUACCGCUCAAGGAACAAGCGAAGAGAGUUAACGACGGAUUGUUAACGGAUCAGGAUAAGAUCAAGGACACCGCUAGGAUGGCGAGAAAGGAAUAAGCUGAAGGAAUCAGCAUACUAUCAAGGAUUUGAUGCAUGGAGCACCAUUAGUAGCUGGAUUGCUGCGAGUAAAGUUAUAACCCCGUUAGACGAGAGUCUAGCGGGGUUUUUCUUGUUUGG